AAUUGUUCACAAUGGGCGCAAGCCUGAUGACGCAAUGCCGCGUGGAGGAUGAAGGUCUUCGGAUUGUAAACUCCUGUUGCCAGGGACGAAUGGCUCCGACCUAAUACGUCGGAGAAUGACGGUACCUGGUGAGGGAGCCCCGGCUAACUCUGUGCCAGCAGCCGCGGUAAUACAGAGGGGGCAAGCGUUGUCCGGAUUUAUUGGGCGUAAAACGCUCGUAGGUGGCCACGUAAAGUCGGAUGUGAAAUCUCCCGGCUCAACUGGGAGGGGUCAUUCGAUACUGGCGGGCUCGAGGCCGGUAGGGGGAAGCGGAAUUCCGGGUGUAGUGGUGGAAUGCGUAGAUAUCCGGAGGAACACCAGUGGCGAAGGCGGCUUCCUGGACCGGUUCUGACACUGAGGAGCGAAAGCGUGGGGAGCGAUC
rnacentral:rRNA from 1 species